AUUGAACGCUGGCGGCAGGCCUAACACAUGCAAGUCGAACGAGUGGCGGACGGGUGAGUAGUGUCUGGGAAACUGCCUGAUGGAGGGGGAUCACUACUGGAAACGGUAGCUAAUACCACAUACCCUCAUAUGUCCCCAGAUGGGAUUAGCUUGUUGGUGGGGUAACGGCUCACAAGGGCGUCUAGCCCUAACUGGUCUGAGAGGAUGACCCGCCACACUGGAACUGUGACACGGUCCAGACUCCGACGGGAGGCAGCAGUGGUGAAGAUUGCACAAUGGGCGCAAGCCUUAUGCAGCCAUGCCGCGUGUAUGAAGAAGGCCUUCGGGUUGUAAAGUACUUUCAGCGGGGAGGCGUUACCCGCAGAAGAAGCACCGGCUAACUCCGUGCCAGCAGCCGCGGUAAUUC
rnacentral:rRNA from 1 species